UACGUAGGGUCCGAGCGUUGUCCGGAGUUACUGGGCGUAAAGCGCGCGCAGGCGGUGGCGUGUGCCCGGCGUGAAAGCCCCCGGCUCAACCGGGGAGGGUCGUCGGGGACUGCGCCACUUGAGGUCGGCAGGGGCCGGUGGAAUGCCCGGUGUAGUGGUGAAAUGCGUAGAGAUCGGGCGGAACACCCGUGGCGAAGGCGGCCGGCUGGGCCGUACCUGACGCUGAGGCGCGAAGGCGUGGGGAGCGAACGGG
rnacentral:rRNA from 1 species